CAGAAAUAUCUCCGCUUCUUUCUGACUCCGAUCCAAUCCAAUUCUAAUUGAUCAAAUUGGGGACUUUGUAGAGUGUGAAUUAUGGGGGAGGAAGUGAAGAUCGGUGAGUACGAACCGAACGGGGAGGAUACCAACGGAGAUGUAGAGAGAGUUGCAGAGUGGGAGAUUGGCCUACCUACUGCCGACGAUCUCACCCCUUUGUCUCAGCUGUUGAUUCCUCCGGAGCUCGCGUUGGCGUUCAGUAUCUCGCCGGAGCGUCAACGCACGCUUAUCGACGUCAACCGAGCUUCGCAAAAUACUGUCUCGAAUCUCCG
rnacentral:misc_RNA from 1 species